rnacentral:rRNA from 1 species
ACGGGGGUUGCAAGCGUUGUCCGGAAUUACUAGGCGUAAAGGGCAGGUAGGCGGAUCCAUAAGUUUUUUGUUAAAGGCAACGGCUUACCCGUUGUAAGGCAGGAGAUACUGGGGAUCUGGAAUGCGGAUGGGGAAGACAGAAUUCCUGGUGUAGCGGUGAAAUCCUGUAAUCUGAGGGGGAAGACCUGGGGCGAAGGCGUCUCACUAGGACGGCACCGACGGUGAGCAGCGAAGGUGUUGGUAGUAAACCG